rnacentral:rRNA from 2 species
AAAGUGAAGCCACGAACAGCUCAUUAUAACAGCCGUUGUUUCUUGGAUUUCCGCUCACACUUGGAUACCUGUGGUAAUUCUAGAGCUAAUACACGCAAUCGAGCUCCGACCUAACGGGACGAGCGCAUUUAUUAGAACAAAACCAAUCGGUCUUCGGUACCGUGGCUUGUUGACUCUGAAUAACUUAGCAGAUCGCUCGGUCUUAGUACCGGCGACGUAUCCUUCAAGUGUCUGCCUUAUCAACUUUCGAUGGUAGUUUAUGUGACUACCAUGGUUGUAACGGGUAACGGAGAAUUAGGGUUCGACUCCGGAGAGGGAGCCUGAGAAACGGCUACCACUUCUAAGGAAGGCAGCAGGCGCGCAAAUUACCCACUCUCGGUACGAGGAGGUAGUGACGAAAAAUAACGAGACGGAGCUCUUUAGAGUUCCGUCAUUGGAAUGAGAACAAUCUAAACCCUUUAACAAGGACCUAGCGGAGGGCAAGUCUGGUGCCAGCAGCCGCGGUAAUUCCAGCUCCGCCAGUGUAUAUCUAUGCUGCUGC